GUGCUCUCUUUGCCAGCACAUACACUAAAAUUGGAACAAUACAGAGAAAAUUAGCAUGGCCCCUGAGCAAGGAUGACAUGCAAAAUCGUGAAGCAUUCCAUAUUUUU
ensembl:snRNA U6 U6 spliceosomal RNA